CCGACGACUCCGAUUCGACCAUCAAUCGGAAAGACACGCUCAACCCGCAUGGAAAACGGUGAAACGACGCUCACCAGUAUUCCAAAAGAACCCGUCCACACGCACUCGUUGUAGUGCUAGCCAACACUUCGAUUUGCAACCGAACGACGUUCAUCUAAGCCAGCAGAAACAAAUGCCAAAUUAACUUGGACAGAUCGGCAAACCGGUUGGAAAUUACCAGGCCGCGCAUCACGGAGAUGAGAAAAUCGAAAGGCUCUCGACGGAGGUAAUUUCAACCAAAAAUUCCA